AGUGAACGCUGGCGGUAGGCCUAACACAUGCAAGUCGAACGGCAGCACAGGAGAGCUUGCUCUCUGGGUGGCGAGUGGCGGACGGGUGAGGAAUACAUCGGAAUCUACCUUUUCGUGGGGGAUAACGUAGGGAAACUUACGCCAAUACCGCAUACGACCUACGGGUGAAAGCCGGGGACCUUCGGGCCUGGCGCGGAUAA
rnacentral:rRNA from 1 species